rnacentral:rRNA from 1 species
UACGUAGGGUCCAAGCGUUAAUCGGAAUUACUGGGCGUAAAGCGUGCGCAGGCGGCUUUGCAAGUCAGACGUGAAAUCCCCGGGCUUAACCUGGGAAUGGCGUUUGAAACUACGGAGCUGGAGUGUGGCAGAGGGAGGUAGAAUUCCACGUGUAGCGGUGAAAUGCGUAGAUAUGUGGAGGAAUACCGAUGGCGAAGGCAGCCUCCUGGGCCAACACUGACGCUCAUGCACGAAAGCGUGGGGAGCAAACAGG